rnacentral:lncRNA from 1 species
CAACAAACCAAAUGGACUUCAUGUGAAAUUAUUGACUACUCUGUGCCUCUCAGCCUCAAUUAGCCCCUAAUUCUAGGCACCUGGAAGCCAAAGCAAACCAUAAGGAGCCACAAGCACUACCCCAAUGUAGCAUCUCUGGAAGGAAGUUUCACAUGAACCACAUUGGCUCUCUGAGGUAUCCAUUUCAGCAGGGAUGCAAGUUUCUGGCAGAGGAAGAAGCAGCAACAAUGCCCAACAAAAGUGCCAGCGGCAGCAGAAGAGAUUGGAAAAAGUCUUGCCAAUGCCUGAUGGAGACAGUGCAUCCGUGGGGAACAGAAUGUAUUGAACAGAUAAUACCACACUUGCAGCUCAAAAGGUCCAGCAAAAAAGCAGUCUUUGAGGAAAAAGCAAAAUACUUAAGGUAAGGUGCAAAAACAAUAUCUUUACUACAACAAUGGUGUCAAGAGGGAAUUGGCUAGAAGCAGAUGACACAGGACUAAAUGAGAAAUAUCUACAACCAUAAUCGGGAAAUCAUUUGAUCUGUGAGAAUAAGAAAAAGAAUGUUUGCUUGGAGUGAUGGGGAAAGAACUAUACUGUUGCUUAUUAUCAUUGACAAAGAGUAGAAUCUCAAAACUCUUAGGUUAAAAUUCCUGGAUCAUAGGGGCUUCUGGGUGACUCAGUCAGUUAAGUGGCUGACUCUUGGUUUCAGCUCAGUUCACGAUCUCAGGGUCAUAAUAUUAAGCCCUAGGACAGAGUCUGCUUCAGAUUUGCUUUUUUUCUCUCUCCUUCCAGCUCACAUGUGUUCUAUCUCUCUUUAUCUAUCUCAAACAAGCAAACAAAUAAAUAAUAAAUAAAUCUUUCUUAAAAACCCUAGAUCAUAGAAAAACCUCCAGUUAGCCUGAAACACAUCCUUACACCAUCUGAAAUAUAAACUUUCUGUAAAAAAGGGAUUUAACAAGACAAGAAGGGAGAGAGGAUAAGAUAGUGUCACCAUUGGGCAGACAAAACAGUAGCCUAAAUAUUUCUUCUUGGAUUAUAACAACUAAAUAAGAGUAUCAGAAAGGGAGACAGAACAUGGAAGACUCCUAACUCUGGGAAACGAACUAGGGGUGGGGAAGGGGAGGAGGGCGGGGGGUGGGGGGAACUGGGUGGCGGGCACUGAUGGGGGCACUUGAUGGGAUGAGCACUGGGUGUUAUUCUGUAUGUUGGCAUAUUGAACACGAAUAAAAAAAUAAAUUUAUUAUUAAAAAAAAAGAAUAAUCACCACCCAGAAAUAACAAACAAAUCUUCUGAAGACCCUCCUUACUGAGAGAUUUUUAGGCAAAGUGUUGAAGGUAUGGCCUGGUUUCUCCAUACCGUUUCUAGUAAAAUGCAAGAUGAAAGAGAUAAGUUCAAGGAAACGGAAUUUGAAGAUUUGGGAAAUACUAUUUAUAUUACAAAAAAGAGAAGGCAUAUUCUAGAGAGAAGAACAAAGAUGUAGCUGGAAAAUCCUUUGUUAAAGAGAUCAUGGGUGGAGCAGAAGGGAUGAUUGGAGACAUUCUAAGCAAGGGAAGGAUUCAAUAUGCCAUGGCCAAUGUCAAGAUGCAUGUAGUUGGGAGUGCAGCCUUUGGGAGUUGAGACUGACCUGUGGCCAACAGCCAUCAAGAAUAUGGGGACCUCAGUCUUAAAACCAUAAGGAACUGAAUUCUGUCAAUAAGAAUGAACUUACAAAUAUAUUCUUCCCCAGAAUCUUAAUAUAAGAACUCAGUCAAGCUGACAUUUUUAAACAACAUAUUAAUUAUUCUAUCAGAAGAUUUAUAUCAGAUUUAUAUAUCAAAAGAUAGUAUGAGAAAAAAAAUAAAUAAAUAGAAACACCAUGGAUAUGCAAAUAUAAAUUAGAUUUUUUUAAAAAAUUAAAAAUAACUAUAUUUGUUAUGUUUAAAAAUAGAUAAACAUAUAAUAAAAAGACAAACUGGUGAAUUUCAUUAGAAAACUAUAAACAGUUAAAAUUCUAGACUUGAGAAUUAUAAUAUGUAAAAUCAGAAACUCUUGUUACUUUGACUUAACAGCAGACUGGGAACAACAAAACAAAAUUAAGAAUUGACAGAAAAUAGAAAAUAUACAAACUGAAGCACAGAUAAGUGAACUAAAAGGACAAAUUGAAAGCAUUAGAUUAAGGUGGGAGAAAGUGAAAAGUCUUACAGAAGUUAAUGGGAAAAUCAGGACAAAAGCAAGAGAAUGGGACAGAAACAAAAGUUAAUGAGCAUACAUUUUUUAAAAAUUUAAUAAAUCCAGAUUCAAAAAACUCUGAAGCCCUUAGCAAGAUAAAUAUAAAGAAUAAUCAAUCUAGAAACAUCAUAAGACUGCUAAAAAUCAAAUCAGUGGCAAAACUUUUUUCCUCAACUUUAUUGAGGCAUAACUGACAAAAUGUGCAUGUAUCUUAGCUACACAAUGUGAUGAUUUUAUAUAUAUAUAUAGUAAAAUGUUACCAUAAUCAAGCUAAUCAUCAAAUCUGUCACCUUACAUUGUGUGUGUGCAUAUCAAGAAUACUUAAGUUCUACCCUCUUAGCAAAUUUCAAGUAUGCCAUACAGUAUUAUGGGUAUCUCUUUGAGGUACAUAUUUCAUUUCCUUUGCAAAUAAAAUCUAGAGGUGGAAUUGCUGGGUCAUAUGGUAGUUUUAUUUUUAUUUUUUGAGAAACCCCCAUACUGUUUUCCAUAAUGGCUGCAUUGAUUUACAUAUUCCCCAACAAUGUGCAAGGGUUCCCUUUUCUCCAUAUCCUUCCCUACACUUGUUAUCUUUUGCCUUUUUUAACAGCCCUUCUUACAGGUAUGAAUGAUAUCUCACUGUGGUUUUGAAUUUACAUUUACAUUAAUUUA